GGUCAAGCUACUAAGGGCGCAUGGGGGAUGUCUUGGCAUUGGAAGGCGAUGAAGGGCGUGGAAGUCUGCGAAAAGCUCGGAGGAGUUGACAAACGAGCGUUGAUCCCGAGGUUCCCGAAUUGUUCCUGCGCUGAAUACAUAGGCGUGUGGAGGCUAACCUGGUGAACUGAAACAUCUCAGUAACCAGUGGAAAAUAAAGAAAAAUCGAUUCCGUAAGUAGCGGCGAGCGAAAGCGGAACAGCCCAAACCGCGGGGGUUUUCCCCUGCGGGGUUGUAGGGUCUUUCACAUGGGAGUUACAAAGCAGUCGAUUAGCGGAAGCAUCUGGAAAGUUGCACCACAGAGGGUGACGGUCCCGUACGCGAAAGUUGAACUGCCUCCCGAAGGAUACCUGAGUAGGUCGGGUCACGUGGAACCCCGACUGAAUCUACGGGGACCAUCCCGUAAGGCUAAAUACUCUCCAAUGACCGAUAGUGAACUCAGUAGCGUGAGUGAAAGAUGGGAAGAACCCCUGCUAGGGGAGGAUAGUGAACCUGAAACCAUGCGCUUACAAGCGGUCGGAGCACUAUGGCAAGCUUGCUUGCAAUGUGUGACGGCGUGCCUUUUGCAUAAUGAUCCGGCGAGUUACCGUUGGCGGCUUGGUUAAGUCUUUUCGGGACGUAGCCAUAGGGAAACCAAGUGUUAAUAGCGCGAAAUUGUCGUCAGUGGUAGACGCGAAACCUGGUGAUCUACCCAUGAGCAGGUUGAAGCGCGGGUUAUACUGCGUGGAGGACCGAACCCACUUGGGUUGAAAACCGAGGGGAUGACUUGUGGGGAGGAGUGAAAGUCUAAUCAAACCAGGAGAUAGCUCGUUCUCUCCGAAAUAGCUUUAGGGCUAGCCUCGUGCCACUAUGCAUUGGGGGUAGAGAUACUGAAUCGGAUGGGGGCCCUUCCCGGGGUACCCCACUGAACCAAACUCCGAAUACCAAUGUAACUAUCACGGGAGUCAGUCCACGUGGGAUAAGCUGCGUGGUCAAGAGGGAAACAACCCAGACCGUCGGCUAAGGCCCCUAAAUUGUGCUUAGUCACUAAGGAAGUGAGAUUGCUGAGACAGCCAGGAUGUUGGCUUAGAAGCAGCCACCAUUUAAAAAGUGCGUAACAGCUUACUGGUCGAGCAGUCUUGCGCCGAUAAUGAUCGGGAGUAAGUACGAUGCCGAAGCCGCGGGUUCAGUGAUCCUUCGGGUGAUCUGAGCGGUAGGAGAGCGCUGUACGUCAGAUACAAGCCGUACCGAAAGGAGCGGUGUCGGGGCGUACAGGUGAUUAUGCCGGAAUGAGUAACGAUAAAGCAGGUGAGAAUCCUGCUCGCCGAAAGCCUAAGGUUUCCUGGGGAAGGUAAUUCCGCCCAGGGUUAGCCGGUACCUUAGUCGAGGCCGAAAGGCGUAGACGAUGGAUAGCAGGUUAAUAUUCCUGCGCCACUUAUGUGGACCGAUGGAGGGACGGCGCGCGAAGGGUGAGCGGUACGAAUAGAAAUGUCCGUGGACCGUUGCAAGAUGGAGGGAUUGGCAAAUCCACCCUCGGAAUUCAAGCGACGGGACCGAGAGCGUUUAAGUUCUUGAAGUCAUCCGCAGUGCGUCCAAGAAAAGCUUCUAAGGGUUGAAGCAUAGGUGACCGUACUAAAACUGACACAGGUAGGUGAGACGAGAAGUCUAAGGCGCUCGGGAGAACGGUGGUUAAGGAACUCUGCAAAAUGGCCCCGUAAGUUCGCGAUAAGGGGUGCCCUUGGCGGUUCACGCUGCUGGGGGCCACAGUAAAUCGGCUCCAACGACUGUUUAUCAAAAACACAGGUCUCUGCUAACACGUAAGUGGAUGUAUAGAGACUGACGCCUGCCCGGUGCCGGUAGGUUAAGGAAGCGGGUUAUCCCUUUCGGGGGAGAAGCUCUCGACCGAAGCCCCGGUAAACGGCGGCCGUAACUAUGACGGUCCUAAGGUAGCGAAGUUCCUUGUCGGGUAAGUUCCGACCUGCAUGAAAGGCGUAACGAUUGGAGCACUGUCUCAACCACCGACCCGGUGAAAUUGUAGUCGUGGUGAAGAUGCCACGUACCCGCGGUUAGACGGAAAGACCCCGUGAACCUUUACUGCAGGCUGAUAUUGGGCUGAGGUAUGUUUUGUGUAGGAUAGGUGGGAGGCUUUGAUGUGAGGGCGCCAGCCCUUGCGGAGCCAACCUUGAAAUACCACCCUGGAUAUGCUUUAGUUCUAACGUUGAUCCCGUGAAUCCGGGCAACGGACAGUGUCAGUUGGGCAGUUUGACUGGGGCGGUCUCCUCCCAAAGAGUAACGGAGGAGUACAAAGGUACCCUCAGCCUGGUUGGCAAUCAGGCGUAGAGCGCAAAGGUAGAAGGGUGCUUAACUGCGAGACUAAUCAGUCGAGCAGAUGCGAAAGCAGGUCUUAGUGAUCCGGUAAUUCCGAAUGGAAGGGUUAUCGCUCAUCAGAUAAAAGGUACUCCGGGGAUAACAGGCUUAUCGCCUCCGAGCGUCCAUAGCGGCGAGGCGGUUUGGCACCUCGAUGUCGGCUCAUCACAUCCUGGGGGUGAAGAAGCUCCCAAGGGUUCGGCUGUUCGCCGAUGAAAGUGGUACGUGAGCUGGGUUCAGACCGUCGUGAGACAGGUCGGUCCCUAUCUGCCGUGGGCGUUCGAAACUUGAGCGGGUUCUUCUUUAGUACGAGAGGAUUUGGAAGGACGAACCUCUGGUGUCCCAGUUGUCGCGCUAGCGGCACGGCUGGAUAGCUAAGUUCGGACAGGAUAAACGCUGAAAGCAUCUAAGCGUGAAGCCCUCCGCAAGAUCAGGUUUCGUAAGUGCUAGACACGAAAGCCCCCUGGAAGACGACCAGGUUGAUAGGCUGGAUGUGUAAGCUCAGUAAUGGGUUAAGCUCACCAGUACUAACGGGCGAAGGCUUGGCCAC
rnacentral:rRNA from 1 species